rnacentral:rRNA from 1 species
ACGAAGGGGGCUAGCGUUGCUCGGAAUUACUGGGCGUAAAGCGCACGUAGGCGGGUUCUUAAGUCGGUGGUGAAAUCCUGGAGCUCAACUCCAGAACUGCCUUCGAAACUGGGAAUCUUGAGUCCGGGAGAGGUGAGUGGAACUGCGAGUGUAGAGGUGAAAUUCGUAGAUAUUCGGAAGAACACCAGUGGCGAAGGCGACUUACUGGACACAUAUUGACGCUGAGGUGCGAAAGCGUGGGGAGCAAACAGGA